UACGGGGGGGGCAAGCGUUGUUCGGAAUUACUGGGCGUAAAGGGCUCGUAGGUGGCCAACUAAGUCAGACGUGAAAUCCCUCGGCUUAACCGGGGAACUGCGUCUGAUACUGGAUGGCUUGAGUUUGGGAGAGGGAUGCGGAAUUCCAGGUGUAGCGGUGAAAUGCGUAGAUAUCUGGAGGAACACCGGUGGCGAAGGCGGCAUCCUGGACCAACACCGACACUGAGGAGCGAAAGCCAGGGGAGCAAACGGG
rnacentral:rRNA from 1 species